rnacentral:rRNA from 1 species
UACGUAGGGGUCGAGCGUUGUCCGGAGUUACUGGGCGUAAAGCGUGCGCAGGCGGCGCACCGCGCCCGGCGUGAAAGCCCCCGGCUCAACCGGGGAGGGUCGUCGGGGACGGGUGCCGCUUGAGGGUAUCAGGGGCUGGUGGAAUUCCCGGUGUAGUGGUGAAAUGCGUAGAGAUCGGGAGGAACACCCGUGGCGAAGGCGGCCAGCUGGGAUACACCUGACGCUGAGGCACGAAGGCGUGGGGAGCGAACGGG